rnacentral:lncRNA from 1 species
UCUCUGCCCCUGUGUUUCAGUUCAAAUCAGCCUUCUCAUCUGCGGAAACCACAGAAUUGAGUGGCAAAUGUGUGGUGGCUUUGGCAACAGGUGAAGUUUGGGGGCAGCUGGUAAUAAGAAAGGGCAUGGAGGAUGUGUAGUGCGGUAGCAUCCAGUGCCCAGAUCUGGCUCGGGAGUUGGUUGAGGAACAUGUCAUUCUUUUCUCUGCUUUUUGAGGCCCAAGGGGUCAGCAUUCCCAGUUUGAGGUCUGAGAGCCUUAGGAGCAGGCUCCUGGGAAGUGUGGAAAAAGUCCAAGGCCCAAGAGCCUUCCUAGGAACAGAAAGAAAGAGUUCUCCAGGGAUCCUGAGCUCCAGGGCUCUCAGCAGUGCCCUGUCCAACUGGGCCCAAACCUUGUCACUCUGCAUACUCCCCUGCCUGCCAUCUCCACCUGUCUGUGUGCCCGCAGAUCCCAAUAUCCUGAGCCUGAGUGGUAAGGUGCUGCCAUCCUGUGACCUUGCUCGACGCUAUGGCCUUCGGGAUGUGGACGGCCGCCCUGUCCAAGACUAUUUGUCUUUGAGCUCUGUUCUCUCACACGUGUCCGGCCUGGGCUGGCUGGCCUCCUACUUGCCCUCCUUCCUCCGUGUGCCCAAGUGGAUUAUUGCCCUCUACACUAGCAAGUUCUAACCCUCCUGGUCUGACACCACGUCUGUUUGUCUUCUCAUUUGGGCUUGGUGGUUUGUCCUAUCUCAAUGAAACAGCAGCCUUUCUUGCUUACCCAUACCCUUGAUAUGAAGAGAAGCCCUCUGCUGUGUGUCCGUGGUGAGUUCUGGGGUGCGCCUAGGUCCUUUCUUUGUGCCUUGGUUUUCCUUGUCCUUCUUUUUACUUUUUGCCUUAGUAUUGAAAAAU